rnacentral:rRNA from 1 species
GACGAACGCUGGCGGCGUGCCUAAUACAUGCAAGUAGAACGCUGAAGGGAGGAGCUUACUCUUCUUGGUUGAGUUGCGAACGGGUGAGUAACGCGUAGGUAACCUGCCUUGUAGCGGGGGAUAACUAUUGGAAACGAUAGCUAAUACCGCAUAACAAUGAAUGACACAUGUCAUUUAUUUGAAGGGGCAAUUGCUUCACUACAAGAUGGACCUGCGUUGUAUUAGGAAGUAUGUGAGGUAAUGGCUCACCUAGGCGACGAUACAUAGCCGACCUGGGAGGGUGAUCGGCCACCCUGGGACUGGAACACGGCCCAGACCCCUACGGGAAGGAGCAGUAGGGAAUCUUAGGCAAUGGGGGCAACCCUGACCGAGAAACGCCGCAGGAGUGAAGAAGGUUUUCGGAUCGUAAAGCUCUGUUGUAUGUCAAGAACGAAUGUGGGAGUGGAAAGUUCACAUUGUGACGGUAGCUUACCAGAAAGGGACGGCUAACUACGUG